rnacentral:lncRNA from 1 species
UCCCGGUCUUACCACUAGAUGGCGGCAUUGUGUAACAGAAAAUAGAAAAUAGAAAAAGUAACAGGAUCUCCUGUUACUUAGUUACUCGCUGUGUGACUCCGGGCAAGUGGCCGGAAGCGGGGAAAGGAAGGACUUGUGCAAAUAAGCUGUGAUGACACAUAUUAAUACCUUGUGGUUAAGUUGUAUGGAUGCCAAGCCAGAAGGCCUGGGUUCGGAUCCUGCCGUCCGAGGGCCGUGAGCGCCCGGGCAGGGUGGAUGCUAACUUGAGGGCUGUUUGGGGAAAAUUCACGAAUGAGGACAAGGAUCUUCCAUGGAUGACCUAAAUUUCUUCUCUCGGAAAUGCCCUGGCAAGAAAUGACAGGUGACUAAGGAAAAAAAAACACAACUGGACUGUAUAGAUCUUGUCUGUGUGAGAGCAGGCGUGGAAGGAAAGAGCCUGGGCAUGGAUCUGCACAUGAAGGCUGGGCUUCAGCAAGGGCGAUCAGAGGUUUGAAAA